rnacentral:rRNA from 1 species
CCUAGGGUGGCAGCAGUUAGGAAUAUUGGUCAACGGGCGUAAGCCUGAACCAGCCAAGUCGCGUGAGGGAUGAAGGUUCUAUGGAUCGUAAACCUCUUUUAUAAGGGAAUAAAGUGUGGGACGUGUCCUAUUUUGUAUGUAACUUAUGAUUAAGGAUCGGCUAACUCCGUGCCAGCAGCCGCGGUAAUACGGAGGAUCCGAGCGUUAUCCUGAUUUAUUGGGUUUAAAGGGUGCGUAUGCGGCAUUUUAAGUCAGCGGUGAAAGUCUGUGGCUCAAACAUAUAAUUGCCGUGGAAACUGGGGAGCGAGAGUAUGUUUGAGGCAGGCGGAAUGCGAGGUGUAGCGGUGAAAUGCUUAGAUAUCACGCAGAACACC